GGGAUGCUGUCAGUGUACUCAAAUUUUCCAGGAACUAGAGAUAUUUUGGGACAGCGAAGCAAGCUCAGUGAGAGAUAAUUAGCCCCCUUUUUGAAGGUGGGGAAAAGACAUAUAGCCAAGUUCUUUCUAAGUGGAAAGUAUAGCCUACUGGAUGACUUAUGUGAACUGAUGCUGCAGACUGCCAAAUAUUUCCAUCAUGUCUUUUUAUAUGAGGAAAUCUGAAAUCAUUGAAUUGGAUAAUUUUAUACACAGCUGCAACCAUCAAUUGACAAGUCUCACUUCAAUCGUUUCCUCACUGCUGUAUUGUGGUCCUGCCAAGCACUCUGGAUUGAAGACCUGUCUGCCAGUUAGCCAGCUUGGAAAGACAAUGCAGCUAAACUCAGGAGCAUACAUUGAAAUAUAUUUCAACAACCUGUUUUGAUCAGCACAGAAGAAAGAAGAACAAAUGAAUCUGUGACAACAAGAGAUGGAACUCACAUUCCUUGCAUGUUUCUCUCAUUACUUCAGAAAACAGUACCCAGUGAAAAGGCAGCUUUGGAAAAGUACAUUCACCAAGAACUCAAGGCAUCCAUUCAUUCUGCAAAUAAUUCUGUAAUUAAUCAACUGUGGCCUCAAGUUUCAAAUCUAACAUGUCAAAGCCUUUCAGGAUAUUUAAAAUACACAGCGUUAGUUCUUCCUACCGGUACUAGACCCUUUCCCUUUUAAAUUUGUGAGU